rnacentral:rRNA from 1 species
AUGACCUCGGAUCAGGUAGGGAUACCCGCUGAACUUAAGCAUAUCAAUAAGCGGAGGAAAAGAAACCAACAGGGAUUACCUCAGUAACGGCGAGUGAAGCGGUAACAGCUCAAAUUUGAAAUCUGGCUCCUCGGGGCCCGAAUUGUAAUUUGUAGAAGAUGCUUUGGGUCUGGGCCUGGCCUAAGUUCCUUGGAACAGGACGUCGUAGAGGGUGAGAAUCCCGUAUGCGGCUGGCGCCCGUGCCCGUGUAAAGCUCUUUCAACGAGUCGAGUUGUUUGGGAAUGCAGCUCUAAAUGGGUGGUAAAUUUCAUCUAAAGCUAAAUAUUGGCCAGAGACCGAUAGCGCACAAGUAGAGUGAUCGAAAGAUGAAAAGCACUUUGGAAAGAGAGUUAAACAGUACGUGAAAUUGUUGAAAGGGAAGCGCUGGCAACCAGACUUGGGCGCUGUUGAUCCGCUAGGGUUCUCUCUAGGGCACUCGGCAGUGCGCAGGCCAGCAUCGGUUUGGGGGGUUGGAGAAUGGCUGGUGGAAUGUGGCUGUCUUUGGGCAGUGUUAUAGCCACCGGUGGCAUGCAGCCUCCCCGGACCGAGGACCGCGCUUCG